GUGCUCACUUUGGCAGCAUAUAUACUAAAACAGAGAAGAUUAGCAUGGCCCCUGCGCAAGGAUGCCAUGAAAAUUCCUGAAGCUUUCUAUAUUUUU
rnacentral:snRNA from 1 species